rnacentral:rRNA from 1 species
ACGGAAGGCAGCAGUAGGGAAUAUUGCACAAUGGGGGGAACCCUGAUGCAGCAACGCCACGUGUGGGGAGAAGCAUUUCGGUGUGUAAACCACUGUCGUGAGGGAAUAAUGCUUGAUUUCGGUCAAGUUGAAUGUACCUCGAAAGGAAGCACCGGCAAACUUCAUGCCAGCAGCCGCGGUAAUACGAGGGGUGCAAGCGUUGCUCGGAAUCACUGGGCGUAAAGGGAGCGUAGGCGGAGACGCAAGCAGUCUGUACAAUCCCGGGGCCCAACCCCGGACCUGCAGACUGGACUGUGUCUCUUGGAUAGUUCAGGGGCAGGCGGAAUUCCUGGUGUAGCGGUGGAAUGCGUAGAGAUCAGGAAGAACACCGAUGGCGAAGGCAGCCUGCUGGGGACUCAUCGACGCUGAGGCUCGAAAGUGCGGGUAGCAAACAGGAUUAGAUACCCUGGUA